rnacentral:rRNA from 1 species
AUGUCCGACCAGAGCACAGAGGUCGACCACGUUCAGGUCCCCGGUCAGAAGCACGACUACAAAGUGCACCACAAGGAGGUUGACAUCCACGGCAAGGAAAAGCUGGAUGUCGUAUGCACCAGCAAUCCCGAGGAAGCCGACAAGAUGAUCAGCAGGAUCCUGAAGAGGGUCUGCGGCUUUUACCCUCAGUACAUCGGCGUUGAUGUCAAGUAUACCAGGGAGGACGAACCUCCGCAGAGGGCAGCGGUUCUACAGUUAUGCAUGGAGGAACUCUGUUUGGUAUAUCACAUCACCGCGGCAACAAAAUGGCCCAAGAGCCUGCGCCCAUUCCUGAAGGAGGACAUGUUCUACACCUUUGCCGGGUUCAGUAUUGAAGGUGACAAAGAGAUGAUGCGAAGUUCUGGUUUGGAGAUCAACCCCAACAAGUAA